rnacentral:rRNA from 1 species
UACGUAGGGUGCGAGCGUUGUCCGGAAUUACUGGGCGUAAAGAGCUCGUAGGUGGUUUGUCGCGUUGUUCGUGAAAACUCACAACUCAAUUGUGGGCGUGCGGGCGAUACGGGCAGACUGGAGUACUGCAGGGGAGACUGGAAUUCCUGGUGUAGCGGUGAAAUGCGCAGAUAUCAGGAGGAACACCGAUGGCGAAGGCAGGUCUCUGGGCUGUGAACUGACGUGAGGAGCGAAAGCAUGGGGAGCGAACAGG